rnacentral:sRNA from 1 species
CCGUGACCGGGAUGCUGACCCGCUAGUGC